rnacentral:siRNA from 1 species
UAAUCUCACAUUUGGACUCCAC